UACGGAGGGUGCAAGCGUUAUCCGGAUUCACUGGGUUUAAAGGGUGUGUAGGCGGAUCUUUAAGUCCGUGGUGAAAUCUCCGAGCUUAACUCGGAAACUGCCAUGGAUACUAUUGGUCUUGAAUCUUGUUGAGGUGGGCGGAAUACAUCAUGUAGCGGUGAAAUGCUUAGAUAUGAUGUAGAACACCGAUUGCGAAGGCAGCUCACUAAGCAAGUAUUGACGCUGAGGCACGAAAGCGUGGGGAUCAAACAGG
rnacentral:rRNA from 1 species